AGCGAACGCUGGCGGCAGGCUUAACACAUGCAAGUCGAACGCACCUUCGGGUGAGUGGCAGACGGGUGAGUAACACGUGGGAACGUACCCUCCGGUCUGGAAUAACCCAGGGAAACUUGGGCUAAUACCGGAUACGCGCUUUGGUGGAAAGGUUUACCGCCGGAGGAUCGGCCCGCGUCUGAUUAGCUAGUUGGUGGGGUAACGGCCUACCAAGGCGACGAUCAGUAGCUGGUCUGAGAGGAUGAUCAGCCACACUGGGACUGAGACACGGCCCAGACUCCUACGGGAGGCAGCAGUGGGGAAUAUUGGACAAUGGGCGCAAGCCUGAUCCAGCCAUGCCGCGUGAGUGAUGAAGGCCUUAGGGUUGUAAAGCUCUUUUGUCCGGGACGAUAAUGACGGUACCGGAAGAAUAAGCCCCGG
rnacentral:rRNA from 1 species